GCGCCUUGAAAUGAGGAACUCAAAAGUCACAUGUAAAGAAAAAAUCUCUGUGUAGUGAUAUUGGACAUGUUUCUAUUUUUAAAAAAUGACUGAACUUAAUUAUUUGUGGUGAUUAAGAAAGUAGAGGAACAUAGAAUAAAUGUGUAAAAACUAUGGAGCUAUUGAAUGUGUUCAAAGUAUUAAAUUUUCAAAGAACUUAUUGUGUUAAAAAGGGGAUAUUUUACCACAAGGAGCCGCAUCACAAAAGGAUGUUCGGGGUUUGCUAAUUUACGGAAAAAGUAAUCUCACUUCGUACCCCGAAAAUUUAACCACAUAUGUGAAAAUGUCACAGCUUCGAAACGAGCUAUCAUACAUAUCCAAGUUUGCGAUAUGGACUGAGCUACAGGAAAAAACGUUACCAUUAUCGCCUAUGGAAAAACAAUUAAAGAUAUUGAGCCUAUUUACAAAAAGAUAAAUCAGAAGUUUCCAGAGUGAUCUAUGGAUGAUUUCACCUUGUACACCCGGGAAAAUUGUGAAAAUGAUGGUAAGUAUUUUUUUAUUUAUACCUAGAUAUCCCAGAUGAUUUCAGAUAACCAUUAUAGAUAAAUACCAGCAGAUACUCAAUGAAUUUUUCGCUUUUAGAAAGCAUUGCAGGCACGGGGCUGAACACUUUUUUUAGGCACAAUUCUAACUUUGUUUACACCCCCGAGAGAUCCGAAAGGAAUUUGUUUAUGAAUUGAAAAAGGCAUGAACUAACAUAAUAGUUUUAUCUUUCCAGACAUAUCAUUACUUUUUAACCUGAGAUGACAAACUAGAGGUUUUAAAAGGUCCUGAAUAACUGAAAUGGACAAAAAUACACAGAUUUAUUCAGAAUGUCAUACCGAUGAAGAUCACAUAAAAAUAUUUGGAAGAAUCAGAACUAUGGAUUGCAAUUUACAAAAAGAUAAAUCAGAAGUUUCCAGAGUGAUCUAUGGAUGAUUUCACCUUGUACACCCGGGAAAAUUGUGAAAAUGAUGUUCCAGACAUAUCAUUACUUUUUAACCUGAGAUGACAAACUAGAGGUUUUAAAAGGUCCUGAAUAACUGAAAUGGACAAAAAUACACAGAUUUAUUCAGAAUGUCAUACCGAUGAAGAUCACAUAAAAAUAUUUGGAAGAAUCAGAACUAUGGAUUGCAAUAUGGGACAACAUCCCUAAUGCGCCUUGAAAUGAGGAACUCAAAAGUCACGUGUAAAGAAAAAAUCUCUGUGUAGUGAUAUUGGACAUGUUUCUAUUUUUAAAAAAUGACUGAACUUAAUUAUUUGUGGUGAUUAAGAAAGAAGAGGCACAUAGAAUAAAUGUGUAAAAACUAUGGAGCUAUUGAAUGUGUUCAAAGUAUUAAAUUUUCAAAGAACUUAUUGUGUUAAAAAGGGGAUAUUUUACCACAAGGAGCCGCAUCACAAAAGGAUGUUCGGGGUUUGCUAAUUUACGGAAAAAGUAAUCUCACUUCGUACCCCGAAAAUUUAACCACAUAUGUGAAAAUGUCACAGCUUCGAAACGAGCUAUCAUACAUAUCCAAGUUUGCGAUAUGGACUGAGCUACAGGAAAAAACGUUACCAUUAUCGCCUAUGGAAAAACAAUUAAAGAUA